rnacentral:rRNA from 1 species
CAGUCUGAAAAAAAAUAUUAAAUAAACUAAAACUUUCAACAACGGAUCUCUUGGUUCUGGCAUCGAUGAAGAACGCAGCGAAAUGCGAUAAGUAAUGUGAAUUGCAGAAUUCAGUGAAUCAUCGAAUCUUUGAACGCACAUUGCGC